GCGCCCUGACGACUCAGCCGGCGGCGCGGAUGUUGUUGCGCAGUUGGCGCCGCGCUGCAGGCGUGGGAGGGGGAGAGCGAGUGACAGCAGCCCGCUAAAUUUUCGGGGGAAGCUUACCAUUGGUUUAUUUAUAUAUCACUUGUUAUUUAUCAGUGCUGUUAGACCAGCAUCCGUUCCUGUUCGGCCCUUGCGCUGUCAUAAGGAAUUGUAACGUGAGUGGGAGCCACACUGAAGUACGUUUUCACUGAAAGCUCUGUCUUGUGACUCCUUUGCAGCUACGAAUUUAACCCAUAAGCAUGAGCUUUAUUAUUGCGGAGAUCUGGUGCUCUGGAAAACGAGUUUCCAAAUGUUCCAGCACCUACAUUGAGAACUUUCAUUUGCCCAGGACUUCGGGACUUCAACUGUGGAGACCAGCAGCAUCAAUAUAAUGCCCUGACUGAAAGAGUUAACCUUUUUUAUUAUUUGCUCCAUUAGUGAUCCUGUUCAGACUGCAGUGCCAUGAACAGUUGUGCUUGCCCAGCUGAAAAAGGUGAUGCGGAACCAGCAGUCAGGCCAGUACUGGUAAAUCAGCACUACCAAUGUGAAAAAAAAUGUGGAUGUAAUGGAAUAAAUUACUUCAGAAUAUGA